GGGGGAAAGAUUUAUCGCCUUUAGAGCGGCCCGCGUCUGAUUAGCUAGUUGGUGGGGUAAUGGCCCACCAAGGCUACGAUCAGUAGCUGGUCUGAGAGGAUGACCAGCCACAUUGGGACUGAGACACGGCCCAAACUCCUACGGGAGGCAGCAGUGGGGAAUCUUGCGCAAUGGGCGAAAGCCUGACGCAGCCAUGCCGCGUGUAUGAUGAAGGUCUUAGGAUUGUAAAAUACUUUCACCGGUGAAGAUAAUGACUGUAGCCGGAGAAGAAGCCCCGGCUAACUUCGUGCCAGCAGCCGCGGUAAUACGAAGGGGGCUAGCGUUGCUCGGAAUUACUGGGCGUAAAGGGAGCGUAGGCGGACAUUUAAGUCAGAGGUGAAAUCCCGGAGCUUAACUUCGGAACUGCCUUUGAUACUGGGUGUCUUGAGUGUGAGAGAGGUAUGUGGAACUCCGAGUGUAGAGGUGAAAUUCGUAGAUAUUCGGAAGAACACCAGUGGCGAAGGCGACAUACUGGCUCAUUACUGACGCUGAGGCUCGAAAGCGUGGGGAGCAAACAGGAUUAGAUACCCUGGUAGUCCACGCCGUAAACGAUGAUUGCUAGUUGUCGGGAAGCUUGCUUCUCGGUGACGCAGCUAACGCAUUAAGCAAUCCGCCUGGGGAGUACGGUCGCAAGAUUAAAACUCA
rnacentral:rRNA from 1 species